ensembl:lncRNA
GCCUGUUGCCCUCUCCGGGGACCAUGAUGCCCUGCUGGUUCUGUGUUUGAGUGUGUGAGAGACAGCAGACAGCGAGCAGACGGCUGUCUGUGUCCUGCAGUGUCUGUGUCUCUCUUCUGCAGAGAUGGCUAAACUCAAACUAAAACAUUGGAUCAUAAUAUGCGCUGUCAUAGUAACACUGUUCCUUAUUCAUACACAAGUUAUAAGACAAAGCAAGUUGAUCCGAACAGAAAAACGAGAGCUCCUGGUGUCAACAGGUAACCAAUCAGAGUCUCUUAUGGAGGAUAAGCACCAAUCAGAAACAAUCGUAUGAACAGGACAGAGCUCUCGAAGUACAGAUACACAUAUGAAGGCUGUUAAGUGCAUGAAUCAUUGCAAUCUUUGUAUAUGAAGGGUUUAAAAUGCUUUUACUUGGUCAGGCAUUUAGUCCUAAUGAUUAGGUGCAUGUGAAAUGAUGAAUGUGGUGGUUAAACCUGGUAAUGAGGCUCAUGUGUACAGGGUCUACUUCUGUGUAUGUGAUUUAGGAGGAUUUUACAGGGCUGUAAAGAAUGGUUUGCAGAUUGAUAAAUAAAUUUAGCAAGGUAUAAAUCA